rnacentral:rRNA from 1 species
CGUGAGUGAUGAAGGCCUUCGGGUCGUAAAGCUCUGUCAAGUGGGAAGAACCUAUGCAGUGUUAAUGUCACUGUGUACUGACGGUACCACUGAAGGAAGCACCGGCUAACUCCGUGCCAGCAGCCGCGGUAAUACGGGGGGUGCAAGCGUUAUUCGGAAUCAUUGGGCGUAAAGAGCACGUAGGCGGCCUGGUAAGUCAGAUGUGAAAGCCCGGGGCUUAACCCCGGAAGUGCAUUUGAUACUGUCAGGCUUGAGUAUGGGAGAGGGAAGUGGAAUUCUUGGUGUAGAGGUGAAAUUCGUAGAUAUCAGGAGGAACACCGGUGGCGAAGGCGACUUCCUGGACCAAUACUGACGCUGAGGUGCGAAGGCGUGGGUAGCAAACAGGAUUAGAUACCCUGGUAGUCCACGCAGUAAACGUUGUUCACUAGGUGUAGCGGGUAUUGACCCCUGCUGUGCCGCAGUUAACGCAUUAA